GCUACCUGGUGAUCCUGCC
rnacentral:misc_RNA from 1 species